rnacentral:pre_miRNA from 1 species
CAAAUACUCCCUCCAUCCGGAAAUACUUGUCAUCAAAAUGGAUAAAAGGAAAUGUAUCUAGACAUAUUUUAGUUUUAGAUACAUCUCUUUUUAUCCAUUUUGAUGACAAGUAUUUUCGGACGGAGGGAGUAUUUA